AACUUGUGGAAGCGUCGCAUGCGGACAUAUCUCCCGUCUAUCUGCGUCUCUCUUCAACCUUCGUCCGCCGCGCAUGUCGCUCCCACUUCCGUACACCGCGCAGCUUGGUUGCCGCUGCGCCCCACGGCCCGCGCACCUUGGCCGCGGUUUUCCUUCUCCAUAGCUGCACUCUCGCUUGCCUUGGCAGCCACACACGACGGCUCCUUCUCCAGUGAUGGUAACAACCCCUCUGCUCACGCCGAGCGCUCAGGUGAUAUCUAGUUGGGAAAAAUAGCGAAUCCCUUUCAUGAUUCUGAUUAGGAGCUCUUCGGACUUCUUCCGUGAAAGCAGCGAGAAGGAAUAGAGACCAAAACGAAAAGAAAAAGGAUACCGACACUAUACAGGGACUUGCGGCGGCUUCCCUCCGCUGGAUGGGCAGAUGGCUUGGAACCUCCGGAUCGAACGCAGACGUGUACCUCUAAUACUACGAGUUCAGAACGGAAGGACCAGACGAAAAAAUUCCAGACCAAGAAAAAGGCUGAAAUUUUACUUCUUUAGUAUUAUUGGGUAUAGAUAUUUAGUACUUCAAAUAUAUGCCAACAUCUCGUCUUAGAACUAAACAAAGCCUUGGGCAGGGCAAAACCCUUCUCCCUAUAUAA